rnacentral:rRNA from 1 species
AUUGAACGCUGGCGGCAUGCUUUACACAUGCAAGUCGAACGGCAGCGCGGGCUUCGGCCUGGCGGCGAGUGUCGAACGGGUGAGUAAUGCAUCGGAACGUGCCCAGUAGUGGGGGAUAGCGCGGCGAAAGCCGGAUUAAUACCGCAUAAGAACUGAGGGUGAAAGCGGGGGACCGAAAGGCCUCGCGCUAUUGGAGCGGCCGAUGUCGGAUUAGCUAGUUGGUGGGGUAAAGGCUUAUCAAGGCGACGAUCCGUAGCUGGUCUGAGAGGACGACCAGCGACACUGGAAAUGAGACUCGGCCUGGCCUCCACGGGAGGCAGUAGUGGGGAAUUUUGGACAAUGGUGGCAACCCUGAUCCAGCCAUGCCGCGUGCGAGAAGAAGGCCUUCGGGUUGUAAACCGCUUUUGUUCGGGAAGAAAUCCUCUGGGCUAAUACCCCGGGGGGAUGACGGUACCGGAAGAAUAAGCACCGGCUAACUACGUG